rnacentral:tRNA from 1 species
GGAGGAGUAGCGAAGUGGCUAAACGCGACGGACUGUAAAUCCGUUCCUGAGGGUUCAGUGGUUCGAAUCCACUCUCCUCCA